UUUUUUCUUUUAGGUGCCCAAGAAUUCCCAUCCCUCCAUGGUUCAAAUAAUAGAGUAUUGCCAAUCAUGUUCUCUUCACAAAAGAAGAGCAUAUGCGGCCUUUCAAUGAUUUUGUGAAAAGCAGCUUUGAUGCAGCUUGAAGUGAUGCAGUAAAUCAUAGCCUUUCCUUCAGCAGUGACGGCAAUGUGCUCGCUUUACAUCAUCUACUCCGGAACAAUCAGGAGAAAAUUGGCCAGUGUCUUUCUAACAACAGGGAUCAUAAAGCUGUUGGAAGAUGACCUUUUGAUAAAUGGCAACACUUCUUGUAUACCUCGGUCCUCCAGAGCACAAACCUGUGGCAGAUACAUACCGGUCCAGCCUUAACCUUACCAGUUAAAAGUUUGAGGAAUUUAUGAUGAGGCAUCAGGUAUGUGAAAAAGAAGAGAUCAAGGCUUUGAAAACAUUAAGUAUUUUUUACCAAGCUGGGAAUUCCAAAGCUGGGAAGCCAAUUUUUUAUGUUGCAAGGAGCUCUUUGAAUCACUGAAUUUUCAGAAUGACUUCAAAUAUGAGGCAUCUUUCUACCUGAGGAGGGUGAUCAGGGUCCUCUCCAUUUGUACCACCUGCCUCCUGGGCAUGCUGCAGGUCGUCAACAUCAGCCCCAGCAUUUCCUGGAACUACAGGAGAUCCUGGUACCUUCACAGCCCCAGCCUCUACCUAAGGAUCUUUGCAGAGGCAAGAGCCAUCAGCAC